rnacentral:tRNA from 1 species
GGUAAGGUGGCCGAGAAGGUGGUGGGUUGUAGCCCCAAGCACAGAGGUUUAGCCCUCUCCUUAUCA